AGUGAACGCUGGCGGUAGGCCUAACACAUGCAAGUCGAACGGCAGCACAGGAGAGCUCGCUCUCUGGGUGGCGAGUGGCGGACGGGUGAGGAAUACAUCGGAAUCUACUCUGUCGUGGGGGAUAACGUAGGGAAACUUACGCUAAUACCGCAUACGACCUACGGGUGAAAGCAGGGGACCUUCGGGCCUUGCGCGAUUGAAUGAGCCGAUGUCGGAUUAGCUAGUUGGCGGGGUAAAGGCCCACCAAGGCGACGAUCCGUAGCUGGUCUGAGAGGAUGAUCAGCCACACUGGAAGUGAGACACGGUCCAGACUCCUACGGGAGGCAGCAGUGGGGAAUAUUGGACAAUGGGCGCAAGCCUGAUCCAGCCAUACCGCGUGGGUGAAGAAGGCCUUCGGGUUGUAAAGCCCUUUUGUUGGGAAAGAAAUCCAGCUGGCUAAUACCCGGUUGGGAUGACGGUACCCAAAGAAUAAGCACCGGCUAACUUCGUGCCAGCAGCCGCCGUAA
rnacentral:rRNA from 1 species